UCCUACGGGGGGCAGCAGUGGGGAAUAUUGCACAAUGGGGGAAACCCUGAUGCAGCGACGCCGCGUGAGUGAAGAAGUAAUUCGUUAUGUAAAGCUCUAUCAGCAGGGAAGAAAAUGACGGUACCUGAGUAAGAAGCCCCGGCUAACUACGUGCCAGCAGCCGCGGUAAUACGUAGGGGGCAAGCGUUAUCCGGAUUUAUUGGGUUUAAAGGGUGCGCAGGCGGAAGAUCAAGUCAGCGGUAAAAUUGAGAGGCUCAACCUCUUCGAUGCGUUGAAACUGGUUUUCUUGGGUGAGAGAGA
rnacentral:rRNA from 1 species